rnacentral:pre_miRNA from 1 species
CUGUUCUCUUGAGAGAUCAGAGGCGCAGUGUGCGUCAAUCUCAAUGAAGCCUGUGCCUUUUACCUCUUUAAGAGCAUAC